CCUAAAAAGGAACAUAAUAUGUCGCGACAACCGAAUUGCGUCCACGGUUUUUGCACACGUCCGAGUUGCGUUCACGGCAUUUCAGCGACUGUUCUGAUUUGCGUCCAAAAGAAUAAUUUAUAUUCUAUACGUUUGGUCAUAUAAUACUCGUAAAUAUUUGGACAUUAGCCAGUCUAAUCGAUUAUCGAUACCUUAACUAUAAAUACUGCCUA